GCGUACCUUUUGUAUAAUGGGUCAGCGACUUAUAUUCUGUAGCAAGGUUAACCGAAUAGGGGAGCCGAAGGGAAACCGAGUCUUAACUGGGCGUUAAGUUGCAGGGUAUAGACCCGAAACCCGGUGAUCUAGCCAUGGGCAGGUUGAAGGUUGGGUAACACUAACUGGAGGACCGAACCGACUAAUGUUGAAAAAUUAGCGGAUGACUUGUGGCUGGGGGUGAAAGGCCAAUCAAACCGGGAGAUAGCUGGUUCUCCCCGAAAGCUAUUUAGGUAGCGCCUCGUGAAUUCAUCUCCGGGGGUAGAGCACUGUUUCGGCAAGGGGGUCAUCCCGACUUACCAACCCGAUGCAAACUGCGAAUACCGGAGAAUGUUAUCACGGGAGACACACGGCGGGUGCUAACGUCCGUCGUGAAGAGGGAAACAACCCAGACCGCCAGCUAAGGUCCCAAAGUCAUGGUUAAGUGGGAAACGAUGUGGGAAGGCCCAGACAGCCAGGAUGUUGGCUUAGAAGCAGCCAUCAUUUAAAGAAAGCGUAAUAGCUCACUGGUCGAGUCGGCCUGCGCGGAAGAUGUAACGGGGCUAAACCAUGCACCGAAGCUGCGGCAGCGACACUAUGUGUUGUUGGGUAGGGGAGCGUUCUGUAAGCCUGUGAAGGUGUGCUGUGAGGUAUGCUGGAGGUAUCAGAAGUGCGAAUGCUGACAUAAGUAACGAUAAAGCGGGUGAAAAGCCCGCUCGCCGGAAGACCAAGGGUUCCUGUCCAACGUUAAUCGGGGCAGGGUGAGUCGACCCCUAAGGCGAGGCCGAAAGGCGUAGUCGAUGGGAAACAGGUUAAUAUUCCUGUACUUGGUGUUACUGCGAAGGGGGGACGGAGAAGGCUAUGUUGGCCGGGCGACGGUUGUCCCGGUUUAAGCGUGUAGGCUGGUUUUCCAGGCAAAUCCGGAAAAUCAAGGCUGAGGCGUGAUGACGAGGCACUACGGUGCUGAAGCAACAAAUGCCCUGCUUCCAGGAAAAGCCUCUAAGCAUCAGGUAACAUCAAAUCGUACCCCAAACCGACACAGGUGGUCAGGUAGAGAAUACCAAGGCGCUUGAGAGAACUCGGGUGAAGGAACUAGGCAAAAUGGUGCCGUAACUUCGGGAGAAGG
rnacentral:rRNA from 1 species